UCUAUAAUAGCUAAUACAAGCAUUUAAACUUUUAAUUUAAAAAUGAAUAACUUUAAUUCUUAUAGAA
rnacentral:tRNA from 1 species